GGGAGCAGGGCCAGGAACGGAGCCUUCUCUCGGAAGGAAGAAACGGCAGCGCAGCAGCAGCCACGGAGGCUGGGGAACAGGCAAGGCAAGGCAAGGCCAGCAAGCACUUUCCCUCCCUCCCUCCCUCCGGCUAAACAUACCCAGUUCUGAACCAACCUGGACACAGCAUAUUAUUGGAAAACACAGAAAUGCUGGACCAUUCUAACAAGCACCAUGUCAGACUAUACCGAGAAGCCGCUGAAAUCCACAACCAUGUAGACAACUUCAACAGAAAGAAGAAACCAUGAAAAUG
rnacentral:lncRNA from 11 species